rnacentral:rRNA from 1 species
UUCCAAGCUACUAAGAGUUAACGGUGGAUGCCUUGGCGCUAGAAGCCGAUGAAGGACGUGGUAGGCUGCGAAAAGCCUCGGGAAGCUGCCAAGCAAGCUUUGAUCCGAGGAUGUCCGAAUGGGGAAACCCGGCUGGGGUCAUGCCCAGUCACUCUGGUCUGAACACAUAGGGCCAGUUGAGGUAACCAGGGGAAUUGAAACAUCUCAGUACCCUGAGGAAAAGAAA